UUUGGACGGAGAGUUCGAUCCUGGCUCAGGACAAACGCUGGCGGCGUGCCUAACACAUGCAAGUCGAACGACAGGUACGGAA
rnacentral:rRNA from 1 species